rnacentral:rRNA from 1 species
UUGGAGGGCAAGUCUGGUGCCAGCAGCCGCGGUAAUUCCAGCUCCAAUAGCGUAUAUUAAAGUUGUUGCAGUUAAAAAGCUCGUAGUUGAAUUUCGGGAUUAACACAUCGGUCGUGCCUUAAGGGGUAUGAACUGGUGUAGUCAAUUUCUCACCUUCUGGAGAACCACGAUGCCCUUAAUUGGGUGUCGCGGGGAACCAGGACCUUUACUUUGAAAAAAUUAGAGUGUUUAAAGCAGGCAUUUUGCUUGAAUACAUUAGCAUGGAAUAAUAAAAUAGGACGGCAUGAUUCUAUUUUGUUGGUUUCUAGGAUCACCGUAAUGAUUAAUAGGGAUAGUUGGGGGCAUUAGUAUUCAAUUGUCAGAGGUGAAAUUCUUGGAUUUAUUGAAGACUAACUACUGCGAAAGCAUUUGCCAAGGAUGUUUUCAUUAAUCAAGAACGAAAGUUAGGGGAUCGAAGACGAUCAGAUACCGUCGUAGUCUUAACCAUAAACUAUGCCGACUAGGAAUCAGACGAUGUUAAUUUUUUAAUGACUCGUUCGGCGCCUUACGGGAAAC